GAACAAGAUAGACACUCCUGUUGUACUCAAACUUGGCUUGGUGUGUGUGCCAACUACAUCUUGCAAAGGGAUUAUCAAACACUGAAAACUCUUGGGAAUGGCCUUCAGGAAGAAUCCUGCCAUUCACUGUGUCAACUCACACUUACCGGACACGAAGGUGCUGUGCCAAAAUGCUAUCAUGAUGUGAACAUGGUGCCUCAAACUGACUUGAGACAUAGCAGAAAAUAUGGCCAUCCACGAACCAGGAAGUAGACCAUCUCCAAACACCAAAUCUAUUAGCAUCCUGAUCUUGGACUUUCAGCAUCAAGAACUUACCUUCAAAAUGCUCUAAAAGUUUACGAACUGCAAAGCCCCUACACUUGGUUGACUGGAAUCUUUCUUUUAAUCACAGCCUGGAACUGGACCAGGACUUGGCAA